AGAGAGAGACAUGCGCGCAUAUCAAUAAGCGGAGGAAAAGAAACUAACAAGGAUUCCCUUAGUAACGGCGAGUGAAGCGGGAAGAGCGCAAAUUUGAAAUCUUCAAGGUUCUACCUUGACGAAUUGUAGUUUAUAGAAGUGUUUUCUGUUAGUGGAGUGGCAAAAGUUCUUUGGAAUAGGACAUCAUAGAGGGUGAGAAUCCCGUAUUUGGUCAUUCCUCCUAGCGUUGUGAUACACUUUCAACGAGUCGGAUUGUUUGGGAAUGCAGUCCAAAAUGGGUGGUAAAUUUCAUCUAAAGCUAAAUAUUGGCGAGAGACCGAUAGCGAACAAGUACCGUGAGGGAAAGAUGAAAAGAACUUUGAAAAGAGAGUUAAACAGUACGUGAAAUUGUCAAAAGGGAAGCGUUUGACACCAGUGUUGUUUUUCCGAAAAUCAAUUACGAAUGUUUUAUUUUUGAGGAGUUAUGACUUCAUCGGCUUGCUCUUUCUUUACGAAACUUUCUUAAUGCACUUUUCGGUUAACAAGUCAACAUCAAUUUCUUUUGUUGUAAAAGGGUACGAGGAAGGUGGCUUUCUUUUCGGAGAAAGUGUUUAUAGCCUUGUGCCUCUGCAAUCGGAGAGAUUGAGGUCUGCAGCGUAGAUCCUUCGGGGUUAGACUACAUUUGUGCUAAGUUAUAGCUUUUCAUAGACAACUUGUUGACUAUGUUUAGUCUUGUAGCUUACUCGCUUAUGCUAUUUUACCUACGCUUAGGAUGUUGAUAGUCACAGCGUGUAC
rnacentral:rRNA from 1 species